UGAUUGAGUCCCCUUCAAACCUGUGUCCAACCUUUAUCCCAAAACAGGAUGUUGUGCAGAGGCCAUGAAAACACUGAUCCAAAUAAAAAGCUUACAGCACCUAGUAUUCCCAUUCAGUCUCCCAACCGAGUACUAACCAGGCCCAACUCUGCUUUGCUUCCGAGGUCAGAUGAGAUCAGGCUUUUUCAGAGUGGUAUGGCCGUAAGCGAAAGCUGACCCCAAAUGGGGCCUAUUUUAAAUAGUGUAAUCAAAAGACUGACUGACUGAUUGAUUGAUUGAUUGGGUCCCCUUCAAACCUGUGUCCAACCUUUAUCCCAAAACAGGAUGUUGUGCAGAGGCCAUGAAAACACUGAUCCAAAUAAAAAGCUUACAGCACCUAGUAUUCCCAUUCAGUCUCAUAACCAAGUACUAACCAGGCCCAACUCUGCUUUGCUUCCGAGGUCAGAUGAGAUCAGGCUUUGUCAGAGUGGUAUGGCCGUAAGCGAAAGCUGACCCCAAAUGGGGCCUAUUUAAAUAGUGUAAUCAAAAGACUGACUGAGUGACUGACUGAUUGAUUGAUUGGGUCCCCUUCAAACCUGUGUCCAACCUUUAUCCCAAAACAGGAUGUUGUGCAGAGGCCAUGAAAACACUGAUCCAAAUAAAAAGCUUACAGCACCUAGUAUUCCCAUUCAGUCUCCCAACCAAGUACUAACCAGGCCCAACUCUGCUUUGCUUCCGAGGUCAGAUGAGAUCAGGCUUUUUCAGAGUGGUAUGGCCGUAAGCGAAAGCUGACCCCAAAUGGGGGCUAUUUAAAAUAUGUAAUCAAAAGACUGACUGACUGACUGACUGACUGACUGAUUGAUUGAUUGAUUGGGUCCCCUCAAACCUGUGUCCAACCUUUAUCCCAAAACAGGAUGUUGUGCAGAGGCCAUGAAAACACUGAUCCAAAUAAAAAGCUUACAGCACCUAGUAUUUUGGUCAGUCUCCCAACCAAGUACUAACCAGGCCCAACUCUGCUUUGCUUCCGAG
ensembl:lncRNA